rnacentral:tRNA from 1 species
UGUGUAUGUAAUUUAAAUAAAAUAUCAAGCUGUGACCUUGACAAUAGAACCUUUUCCCCCUCAUACACC